rnacentral:rRNA from 1 species
CUCCCGGUUGAUCCCGCCGGACCUGACUGCUAUCGGAUUGGUACUAAGCCAUGCGAGUCAUUGUAGCAAUACAAGGCGGACGGCUCAGUAACACGUAGUCAACCUAACUCGUGGACGUGGAUAACCUCGGGAAACUGAGAAUAAACCACGAUAGACCAUAGUGCCUGGAAUGGCUUAUGGUCCAAACAGUUUACUGCCAUGGGAUGGGACUGCGGCCUAUCAGCUUGUUGGUGAGGUAAUGGCCCACCAAGGCGAUUACAGGUACGGGCUCUGAGAGGAGAAGCCCGGAGAUGGGUACUGAGACACGGACCCAGGCCCUAUGGGGCGCAGCAGGCGAGAAACCUUAGCAAUGUGCGAAAGCACGACUGGGUCAGUCCGAGUGAUUCCUGAUAAAGGAGUCUUUUGCUUGUCCUAAAAGCACAGGUGAAUAAGGGGUGGGCAAGUCUGGUGUCAGCCGCCGCGGUAAUACCAGCACCUCGAGUGGUCAGGACGUUUAUUGGGCCUAAAGCAUCCGUAGCCGGCUUUGCAAGUCUUCGGUUAAAUCCACCUGCUCAACAGAUGGGCUGCUGGAGAUACUACAAAGCUAGGGAGUGGGAGAGGCAGACGGUAUUCAGUGGGUAGGGGUAAAAUCCUCUGAUCCAUUGAGGACCACCAGUGGCGAAGGCGGUCUGCCAGAACACGUUCGACGGUGAGGGAUGAAAGCUGGGGGAGCAAACCGGAUUAGAUACCCGGGUAGUCCCAGCUGUAAACGAUGCAAACUCGGUGAUGCAUUGGCUUAUGGCCAAUGCAGUGCCGCAGGGAAGCCGUUAAGUUUGCCGCCUGGGAAGUACGGACGCAAGUCUGAAACUUAAAGGAAUGGCGGGGGGAGCA